GCCCGCGGCGCCAGCGAUCCAAGUUUCCUCGGGCGCGAUGCCACGCGAGCGGUGGUCGGGGACAAAGCGGUUCCCUGGGCCGGCACUACGCGGCCCGCGGCUCACACCAGCGGGAUUCGAACCGCGGCCUGCCGUAGAUUAACUCGGGACCAGGCCGGGCGCGGUGGCUCACGCCUGUAAUCCCAGCACUUUGGGAGGCCAGGGCAGGUAGAGCACCUGAGGUCAGGAGUUCGAGAGCAGCCUGGCCUACAUGGCGAAACCCCUUCUCUACUAAAAAUACAAAAAUUAGCUGGGCUUGGUGACAGGCGCCUGUAAUCCCAGCUACUCGGGAGGCCGAGGCACAAGAAUCGCUUGAACUCAGGAGGCGGAGGUUGCAGUGAGCCGAGAUCCACCACUGCACUCCAGCCUGGGCGACACAGCGAGACUCCGUCUCAAAAAAAAAAAAAAAAAAAAAAGAAAUAGAAAAAGUCGGGAACCUGGCAAGCUGCCUAACUGCUCUGUGCGUCGGUGUCCUCACCUGUGAUGCGGGGACAAAGCUGAAGAAGCCAGCAACCUGAAAACACCAAUGGGCACAGACAGAAGAACCUGCUCGCUCCAGCCAGAGACGUAUGAGGACUUGUAGGUCUGAAGAUUUGAGUGGAUAAAAUUCCAUCAUAAAAAUAAGGUAAGCUGCUUCCAGUAGGUGGGAAUGUUAAUGAAACUGGACCUACUUGGCACUGGAGUAAGAACAUCUACGGUCAUACCUGCUUCUCAUGCAGACCACAGGGUCAAGUCAGUUAUCUUCC
rnacentral:lncRNA from 1 species